rnacentral:rRNA from 1 species
AACGAACGCUGGCGGCAGGCUUAACACAUGCAAGUCGAGCGCCCCGCAAGGGGAGCGGCAGACGGGUGAGUAACGCGUGGGAAUCUACCCAUCUCUACGGAAUAACGCAUGGAAACGUGUGCUAAUACCGUAUACGUCCUUCGGGAGAAAGAUUUGUCGGAGAUGGAUGAGCCCGCGUUGGAUUAGCGAGUUGGUGGGGUAAAGGCCUACCAAGGCGACGAUCCAUAGCUGGUCUGAGAGGAUGAUCAGCCACACUGGGACUGAGACACGGCCCAGACUCCUACGGGAGGCAGCAGUGGGGAAUAUUGGACAAUGGGCGCAAGCCUGAUCCAGCCAUGCUGCGUGAGUGAUGAAGGCCCUAGGGUUGUAAAGCCCUUUCACCGGUGAAGAUAAUGACGGUAACCGGAGAAGAAGCCCCGGCUAACUUCGUGCCAGCCGCCGCCGUAAGAC